ACUUGGAGUGCUCAGUGAGAGGCUGCAGGACAAAUUCAGGCAGCUCCAGGACAUCGGGAGAGAGCUGAGGCCACAGGGAAAUCCACAGCAGCAAUGGAAGGCCCAGCACUGCCUUCUGAGAGAGGAAUGCCCUCCUGACGAGUGCCAGGAGCUGCAGAGGCUCCAGCAGGCUGGGGCCAAACUUGGAGUGCUCAGAGAGCGGCUGCAGGUUAUAUGCAGGCAGCUCCAGGACAUCGGGAGAAAGCUGAGGCCAUGUGGAAAUCCCAAACAGCAGUGGAAGGCCCAGCACUGCCUGCUGAGGGAGGAAUGCCCUCCGGAAGAGUGCCAGGAGCUGCAGAGGCUCCAGCAGGCUUGCGCCAAACUUGGAGUGCUCAGCGAUCAGUUGCAGGAGAAAUGCAGGCAGUUCCAGAUCGGUAGAAGGCUGAGGCCACACGGAAAUCCACAACAGCAAUGGAUGGCCCAGCCAUGCCUGCUUAGGGAAGAAGGCCCUCCUGAACAGUGCCAGGAGCUGCAGAGGCUCCAGCAGAGUGGCACCAAACUUGCAAUACUCAGCAAGCAGCUGGAGGAGAAAUGCAGCCAGCUCCAGACCGGGAGAAAGCUGAGGCCACAGAGAAAUCCCAAACAGCAAUGGAAGGCCCAGCACUGCCUUCUGAGUGAGGAAUGCCCUCCGGGAGAAUGCCAGGAGCUGCAGAGGCUCCAGCAGGCUGGGGCAAUACUUGGAGUGCUCAGCGAGCAGCUUGAGGAGAAAUGCAGGCAGCUCCAGAUGGGGAGAAAUCUGAGGCCACAGGGAAAUCCCGAAAAGCAAUGGAAGGCCCAGCCAUACCUGCUGAGAGUGGAAGGCUUUACUGAAGAGCGCCAGGAGCUGCAGAGGCUCCAGCAGGCUGGCACCAAACUUGAAGUGCUCAGAGAGCGGCUGCAGGUGAUAUGCAGGCAGCUCCAGAUUGGGAGAAAGCUGAGGCCACAAGGAAAUCCCAAAAUGCAAUGGAAGGCCCAGCACUGCCUGCUGAGGGAGGAAGGCCCUCCUGAAGAGGGCCAGGAGCUGCAGAGGCUCCAGCAGGCUGGGGCCAAACUUGGAGUGCUCAGAGAGCGGCUGCAGGUUAUAUGCAGGCAGCUCCAGGACAUCGGGAGAAAGCUGAGGCCAUGUGGAAAUCCCAAACAGCAGUGGAAGGCCCAGCACUGCCUGCUGAGGGAGGAAUGCCCUCCGGAAGAGUGCCAGGAGCUGCAGAGGCUCCAGCAGGCUUGCGCCAAACUUGGAGUGCUCAGCGAUCAGUUGCAGGAGAAAUGCAGGCAGUUCCAGAUCGGUAGAAGGCUGAGGCCACACGGAAAUCCACAACAGCAAUGGAUGGCCCAGCCAUGCCUGCAGAGGGAGGAACACCCUCCUGAAGAGUGCCAAAAGCUGCAGAGGCUCCAGCAGAGUGGCGCCAAACUUGCAGUGCUCAGCGAUCAGCUAGAGGAGAAAUGCAGGCAGCUCCAGAUUGUGAGAAAGCUGAGGCCACAGAGAAAUCCCAAAAAGCAAUGGAAGGCCCAGCCAUGCCUGCUGAGAGUGGAAGGCUUUACUGAAGAGUGCCAGGAGCUGCAGAGGCUCCAGCAGGCUGGGACCAUACUUGAAGUGCUCAGAGAGCGGCUGCAGGUGAUAUGCAGGCAGCUCCAGAUCGGUAGAAAGCUGAGGCCACAGGGAAAUCCCAUACAGCAGUGGAAGGCCCAGCCAUGCCUGCUGAGAGUGGAAGGCCCUCCUGAACACUGCCAAGAGCAGCAGAGGCUCCUGCAGGCUGGGGCCAAACUUGUAAUACUCAGCGAUCAGCUUGAGGAGAAAUGCAGGCGCCUCCAGGAGAUCGGGAGAAAGCUGAGGCCACAUGGAAA
ensembl:lncRNA